GCGGGCCGAAGCUAGAAGCGGCCCCACGGGACACAACCCAGCCCUCUCCCGGCCUGAGGGCGCUCUGCCGCGCUAGCCCGCCACAGGCUGAGGGGCGCCGUAGAAAGGGCUGGUGCACGCCCUAGGCUGCAGCUUGCUGGCCAUUCCCUCCCCCACCCCUUCCUCCUUGAAGAAAAUCCCUCUGGUAAACAGGAGUUGGCGAUGGCAGCCAGCAUGUGUGUCAGCCCGCUUCCUGUAACUCCAGUUGUCUGGGAAUGGUGAACUGUAGCUGCGAGGUGCUGAGGAGCUCUGCGCCUGUGGCUGCUCCAGACACAGACUUGUUGUCCAAUCAACAUUGAACACCUGCUUUGAAAUCUCUCUUCAUCUCUCAAACACCUACAAGAGAAAAUCCAGCUUAAGGGCUAAAUCACAGGUUAUGAGAGAAUUGAAGAAGCUGGGAUUCAAAAGGUAUGCUUCCUGCCAGGCUGUCUUCCUAGAAUUGGAUGACCACAUGCAGUGCCUCAAGUACCUGGAAGAAAGACACUCACCUUCUGGAUGUUCAGUUUGUUGUUGGACCAUCACUUCCAGAGCCCAGAAGGACAAGGAGACUGAUUUGCAGCUCUUCCUUCCUAGGGAACCUAGACCCUCUGGAUCUGAUCAGUCCUCAGCUUCAUGGUCUAAGAGGUCAUCCUAUUUCCUGGGGCUUUUACUGGUGUCAAGAAGCUGCAAACCCCGUCAGUGCUGGAUCUGAUUCCUGCACCUUCCUCAGUCAUGCUCACAAGGCAAUGCCUGUCUGAACUGAGGGCCAUGUUGUUGCAUCUGACUGCCUCAGUUCCAGGACAGAGGCUGAGAGAUCUUUUAGCCACUCUCACCAGUGCUGUACUUUAUACCCUGCAGAUACUUAACCCUGAUGGAAUUCCUGAGGCUGCAGGACCAGGAUUGGUUCAGACUUCCACUUCCAGACAGCUGACUGGGGCCAUUAGCACCUUUGGUUCCAUCUGCCCCAGGGUUGAAGACCAAGAAGCAUAGGGACAAAAGGGCUGCCGUUAGCAGUGCCUGUUCCCAUACCUCAGAGUUUUUGGAUUUGUCUCAUUCUGACAAUACUGCUGCAGUGCUGAAGCAAAGACCUGUUCCAUCCCUGGCUUCAGUAGGGUAGGAGAUACAUUUGUGGUAACAAGAGAUUCCACAUUCUCCACUCCUUCAGAUCAGUUGUUGAUCUCUGGAUCAUAUCGGUCUGGUAAUAUCCUUGGUUCACUUUUACUUAAAAUAUCCCUGACAAAAUGGGGAGCUCAGAUGUGGAAUCCCCAUACCACCCACAGUAGCCAGGGGCUGAAGUCAUGGAUUCUGGGACCUCUAUGGAAAAAAAUUGUUGUCCUUCAAUUCUAUUGCACUUCCCUCUUCAUGAAUUUCUCACAGGAAACUAUUCUUCUUGAAGGUACUUUCCUGCUGCACUGGGGAAAAGGUUUGCCCCCUUUCUACUUAUUCCAAAAAGUAGUGAGAAAGAUACAUCAGGUCAGGGCAAGGACGAUUCUCAUUAUUCCACAUGAGUAGUGGUUUACACAUCAUCUGCAACUAUAUAGCGGAGUCUUUAUGCAUGUUCCUUUGUUUCCAGACUUC